CGAAGUCAGCAGUCAUGGUCAAAGUCAGGUUCUCACAGACAUGUGUAAGUAAAGAGGCAAGGGCAGUAGAAAGCGUGAGUGAAUGGAAGCUUAGACAAAUCAGGGGCAGAGGGAAGAUGAUGGGGAUGCUGCAAAGACAGCACACGCAGAGCCGAGGCACACAACCUGGCAGAGAGCAUUGCACGUGCGUUGCUGAGGGAGCAGCCAGGGAGGAGAAGGCAGUUCUCACUCCUCCAUGUUCGUCACCAGGAGAACUCCUUUGAAGCAUUCUCAUCACAAGAGCUCUUCUGCUCAUGUCCACAUGACGGACACAUAUUGAAGCACAAGUUGAAUGGAUAUCACAACCUCAAACUCAGGAGAGAGAGAAAUUUAACCCUAAAGCUCUUCCAGAGAAAGAAAAGCUCCAGCAAAGAGAAAGACCAAUGUAGAGGUGCACUCCAGAAGUUCUGACACCCAUUUGUGACUUUCAACUUGAUAUGAAGAUAAUAUUUGGGCCUGGAUACCCAUGACCUUGCGGUGCCUGGCACUACCUACACAAGACCCUCAUACUAGGAAGAAAAGAUGAUGACAUCAAAAUAAAACAGAGGCUAAUUGAGAG